CGGCGACAGCGGUCAGGCGUCAUAGGAAGACAAACAAGGCCCCUUGCAUGCGUUACCAUAAAAUUUAUGGCUUCUGGCGUCACAUGUUCGGCCGCCAUAAUCA
rnacentral:antisense_RNA from 1 species